GAUGAACGCUAGCUACAGGCUUAACACAUGCAAGUCGAGGGGAAACGAUAGAGAAAGCUUGCUUUUUCUAGGCGUCGACCGGCGCACGGGUGAGUAACGCGUAUCCAACCUGCCCAUCACUUGGGGAUAACCUUGCGAAAGUAAGACUAAUACCCAAUGACGUCCAUAGAAGACAUCUGAAAGGGAUUAAAGAUUUAUCGGUGAAGGAUGGGGAUGCGUCUGAUUAGCUUGUUGGCGGGGUAACGGCCCACAAAGGCGACGAUCAGUAGGGGUUCUGAGAGGAAGGUCCCCCACAUUGGAACUGAGACACGGUCCAAACUCCUACGGGGGGCAGCAGUGAGGAAUAUUGGUCAAUGGGCGAGAGCCUGAACCAGCCAAGUAGCGUGCAGGAUGACGGCCUUAUGGGUUGUAAACUGCUUUUAUAAGGGAAUAAAGUGAGCCUCGUGAGGCUUUUUGCAUGUACCUUAUGAAUAAGGACCGGCUAAUUCCGUGCCAGCCGCCGCGGUAA
rnacentral:rRNA from 1 species